CGGCGAUGUCCGAAUGGGGAAACCCAGUGCAAUUCGUUGCACUAUCGUUAACUGAAUACAUAGGUUAACGAGGCGAACCGGGGGAACUGAAACAUCUAAGUACCCCGAGGAAAAGAAAUCAACCGAGAUUCCCCCAGUAGCGGCGAGCGAACGGGGAGCAGCCCAGAGUCUGAAUCAGCUUGUGUGUUAGUGGAACGGUCUGGAAAGUCCGACGGUACAGGGUGAUAGUCCCGUACACCAAAAUGCACAGGUUGUGAACUCGAAGAGUAGGGCGGGACACGUGGUAUCCUGUCUGAAUAUGGGGGGACCAUCCUCCAAGGCUAAAUACUCCUGACUGACCGAUAGUGAACCAGUACCGUGAGGGAAAGGCGAAAAGAACCCCGGCGAGGGGAGUGAAAAAGAACCUGAAACCGUGUACGUACAAGCAGUGGGAGCACCUUCGGGUGUGACUGCGUACCUUUUGUAUAAUGGGUCAGCGACUUAUAUUCUGUAGCAAGGUUAACCGUAUAGGGGAGCCGCAGGGAAACCGAGUCUUAACUGGGCGUUAAGUUGCAGGGUAUAGACCCGAAACCCGGUGAUCUAGCCAUGGGCAGGUUGAAGGUUGGGUAACACUAACUGGAGGACCGAACCGACUAAUGUUGAAAAAUUAGCGGAUGACUUGUGGCUGGGGGUGAAAGGCCAAUCAAACCGGGAGAUAGCUGGUUCUCCCCGAAAGCUAUUUAGGUAGCGCCUCGUGAACUCAUCUUCGGGGGUAGAGCACUGUUUCGGCUAGGGGGUCAUCCCGACUUACCAACCCGAUGCAAACUACGAAUACCGAAGAAUGUUAUCACGGGAGACACACGGCGGGUGCUAACGUCCGUCGUGAAGAGGGAAACAACCCAGACCGCCAGCUAAGGUCCCAAAGUCAUGGUUAAGUGGGAAACGAUGUGGGAAGGCACAGACAGCCAGGAUGUUGGCUUAGAAGCAGCCAUCAUUUAAAGAAAGCGUAAUAGCUCACUGGUCGAGUCGGCCUGCGCGGAAGAUGUAACGGGGCUAAACCAUGCACCGAAGCUGCGGCAGCGACACUAUGUGUUGUUGGGUAGGGGAGCGUUCUGUAAGCCUGCGAAGGUGUGCUGUGAGGCAUGCUGGAGGUAUCAGAAGUGCGAAUGCUGACAUAAGUAACGAUAAAGCGGGUGAAAAGCCCGCUCGCCGGAAGACCAAGGGUUCCUGUCCAACGUUAAUCGGGGCAGGGUGAGUCGACCCCUAAGGCGAGGCCGAAAGGCGUAGUCGAUGGGAAACAGGUUAAUAUUCCUGUACUUGGUGUUACUGCGAAGGGGGGACGGAGAAGGCUAUGUUAGCCGGGCGACGGUUGUCCCGGUUUAAGCAUGUAGGCUGAUUAUCCAGGCAAAUCCGGAUAAUCAAGGCUGAGGUGUGAUGACGAGGCACUACGGUGCUGAAGUAACAAAUGCCCUGCUUCCAGGAAAAGCCUCUAAGCAUCAGGUAACAUUAAAUCGUACCCCAAACCGACACAGGUGGUCAGGUAGAGAAUACCAAGGCGCUUGAGAGAACUCGGGUGAAGGAACUAGGCAAAAUGGUGCCGUAACUUCGGGAGAAGGCACGCUGGUGUGUAGGUGAAGUCCCUGCGGAUGGAGCUGAGACCAGUCGAAGAUACCAGCUGGCUGCAACUGUUUAUUAAAAACACAGCACUGUGCAAACACGAAAGUGGACGUAUACGGUGUGACGCCUGCCCGGUGCCGGAAGGUUAAUUGAUGGGGUUAUCCGUAAGGAGAAGCUCUUGAUCGAAGCCCCGGUAAACGGCGGCCGUAACUAUAACGGUCCUAAGGUAGCGAAAUUCCUUGUCGGGUAAGUUCCGACCUGCACGAAUGGCGUAAUGAUGGCCAGGCUGUCUCCACCCGAGACUCAGUGAAAUUGAACUCGCUGUGAAGAUGCAGUGUACCCGCGGCAAGACGGAAAGACCCCGUGAACCUUUACUAUAGCUUGACACUGAACAUUGAGCCUUGAUGUGUAGGAUAGGUGGGAGGCUUUGAAGCGUGGACGCCAGUCUGCGUGGAGCCAACCUUGAAAUACCACCCUUUAAUGUUUGAUGUUCUAACGUUGGCCCCUGACCGGGGUUGCGGACAGUGUCUGGUGGGUAGUUUGACUGGGGCGGUCUCCUCCCAAAGCGUAACGGAGGAGCACGAAGGUUAGCUAAUCCUGGUCGGACAUCAGGAGGUUAGUGCAAUGGCAUAAGCUAGCUUGACUGCGAGCGUGACGGCGCGAGCAGGUGCGAAAGCAGGUCAUAGUGAUCCGGUGGUUCUGAAUGGAAGGGCCAUCGCUCAACGGAUAAAAGGUACUCCGGGGAUAACAGGCUGAUACCGCCCAAGAGUUCAUAUCGACGGCGGUGUUUGGCACCUCGAUGUCGGCUCAUCACAUCCUGGGGCUGAAGUAGGUCCCAAGGGUAUGGCUGUUCGCCAUUUAAAGUGGUACGCGAGCUGGGUUUAGAACGUCGUGAGACAGUUCGGUCCCUAUCUGCCGUGGGCGCUGGAGAAUUGAGGGGGGCUGCUCCUAGUACGAGAGGACCGGAGUGGACGCAUCACUGGUGUUCGGGUUGUCAUGCCAAUGGCACUGCCCGGUAGCUAAAUGCGGAAGAGAUAAGUGCUGAAAGCAUCUAAGCACGAAACUUGCCCCGAGAUGAGUUCUCCCUGAGACUUUAAGUCUCCUGAAGGAACGUUAAAGACGAUGACGUUGAUAGGCCGGGUGUGUAAGCGCAGCGAUGCGUUGAGCUAACCGGUACUAAUGAACCGUGAGGCUUAACCUU
rnacentral:rRNA from 1 species